rfam:Alligator mississippiensis ScZkoYb_152, whole genome shotgun sequence.
GGGUCCCACUGUGUUAUAUGGCUUUUUAUUCCUAUGUGAUUAUACUACUCCUUUCAUAUAGGGAUUGAAGCCGUGCAAUACGCUGGGGAUG